UCAAAAGCUGCUGGGUCUGGCUGGACAGCCAGACCCAAAUCGCUUCCAAUUGGUGCUGGGUUUGGCUGCUCAGCCAGACCCAGCAGCUUUUGGCA
rnacentral:pre_miRNA from 1 species